UAUUCCAUUGUAUAAAUACACCACAGCUUCUUUAUCCAGUCAUCUGUCGAUGGACAUUUAGGCUGCUUCCAAGUCUUGGCUAUUGUAUAUAGUGCUGCUGUGAACACUGGGGUGCAUGUACCUUUUCUCAUUAGAGUUCUCUCUGAAUGUAUGCCCUGGAGUGGGAG